CCAAACGUCAAAUUUUGAAGUUUUAUUAAAGGUCAAAUUCAGGCAUUAAAUCCAGGCAUUAACUCUGAAUGGUUAAGGUAAGGCAUUAACUCUGAAUGGUUAAGGUAAGGGGUUAAGGUUAGGCAUUAACUCUGAAUGGUUAAGGUAAGGGGUUAAGGUUAGGCAUUAACUCUGAAUGGUUAAGGUAAGGGGUUAAGGUUAGGCAUUAACUCUGAAUGGUUAAGGUAAGGGGUUAAGGUUAGGCAUUAACUCUGAAUGGUUCAGGUUAGGCAUUAACUCUGAAUGGUUCAGGUUAGGGGUUAAGGUUAGGCA